rnacentral:lncRNA from 1 species
CAAGAAACGAAAAAAAAGCACAAAGAUUAGUCAUUUGUACCACCAAAACCUGGAUUAAGGUGUAUCAGACAAGAAAGGAAUUGCAUGAUGCAUAACGUCACUAUGAAAAUAUGUAUUCAUCGAGAGAGCCAUUGCGCAUCUAGAUAAUAUAAGUAUCAUAAAUCAGGUUACCAAUUAGUAAUUUUACCAGUUGACUGCACAGACUAAUAUCAGCAACAUUGUUGCUUCCCAAACUAUUAUUGUCAAUGAAUGUACGAGACAAACAAUAAAUGGACUCAGUUUUACAUUGGUUCUGUGAGGGGCGGAAGCAUAGAGAAGGAAAAGAAAGAUAUAUGAACAAUAGAAAAGGGGGAAAGAAUAUUUCUAUAUUGCUUCCAGAAGGAACUCCAGUGAUGAUUUAGGCAUUACCUAGCAAACGAGGGAAACCACCAAGUCAAAAUUAUGAAUCAUUUGCCUUUUCAACCUUCUGCUCUGCUUGAUUAUCGUUGCUCUCUUCCAGCUGUGUGCUUGAACUCUGUCCCUCCCUCGAAGAUUUUUCUUCAGGUUGGGUGCUUAAAAUCUGUCCCUCGUUCAAAGCUUUACUGCUGUUUGCUUCCUCGACAGCGUUGGGCUUCCCCUGUUGAAUUAGAAUUCUCCCCUCAACAUUGUUAGUACAGUGCAAGUUGUUUUCUUAAGUACUUCACAUACCAUAAAAGCAUAAAGAAAUAACAGAAGAAACAGUGUCUUCUACAGAUAUCACAUUACAUCAGCGAUAAUGGAGUUCUAUAGAUGCUAUACCAUUCGUCCAGAAUACUGUGUCCACCAAAAUGAAUGUAACAAUGACAGAAUGGUUUGUGCUUGAGCAAUGCAGAGAAGAACGCAAAUGACAUGCACAAGUUCGAAAACAUCAUAAUUGUACGGAAAUUGCAGGAAGCAAAAUUACAAACCACCAAGAAACGAAAAAAAAGCACGAAGAUUAGUCAUUUGUACCACCGAAACCUGGAUUAAGGUGUAUCAGACAAGAAAGGAAUUGCAUGAUGCAUAACGUCACUAUGAAAAUAUGUAUUCAUCGAGAGAGCCAUUGUGCAUCUAGAUAAUAUAAGUAUCAUAAAUCAGGUUACCAAUUAGUAAUUUUACCAGUUGACUGCACAGACUAAUAUCAGCAACAAAAUGGUAAAUCGACAGACGAAAAACAAAAUAGAGUGAGUCACUUGAUACUCACAGGAAUACCAAAACUGUGGAACAUAAUGAGUCUUAACAUGAAUAGGGGAGUUUCUUGACUG